UACGUAGGGGGCUAGCGUUGUCCGGAAUCAUUGGGCGUAAAGCGCGUGUAGGCGGUCCGGUAAGUCCGCUGUGAAAGUCGGGGGCUCAACCCUCGAAUGCCGGUGGAUACUGUCGGGCUAGAGUGCGGAAGAGGCGAGUGGAAUUCCUGGUGUAGCGGUGAAAUGCGCAGAUAUCAGGAGGAACACCAAUGGCGAAGGCAGCUCGCUGGAACGGUACUGACGCUGAGGCGCGAAAGCGUGGGGAGCAAACAGG
rnacentral:rRNA from 1 species